CGGAUGAGAGGGAUAGCGGUGAGAGGCGAGUGAUGGACAGAAAGAAAAGUUGUCGAUUCGAGAAAUGUGUGUGAAGGAAAGAAGGGAACAGUAAAGGAGACGAGACGGAGAUGCGAGAGAAGCACAGAUCAAGACACGAAUGAGUGAGACCAGUCAAUGAAUGGCACGCAACGAAUAGGAGAAUGGAUGGCGAAAAGAUGACAAAUUUCCAUCAUGAUACCCCAUACUGUAUGCGAAGCAAGCAAACAAAAAGACAGACAGAAACAUAAAGGCCAGCAUUGGAGCAGUAGACCUAUUUGUAUUACAUGCUACCCCUGCCAGCCUAAAAUCCUGGAGUCCUCAGAUCCAAUCACAGCGCAGUCAUGGCUGCAAACACUGAUGCAGCACCAAUGCUGCAAAUAACACAGAAGAGUGCAGUGAGUCGCAGUGGUUGCUGAUGGAUUGGACUGAGAUCAUCCAGUUGACCAUUCGCCAAUGCAGCACCAUGUUCAGCCCCUCCUGUCGUCGAGGUAGGCUGCAGCCCUUGGGACACAGAAGCCAAGAAAGGAUCAACCUGAACUCCAGCACCGAGAAGCUGCAGGGGUCCCAAGAAUCCUUCCCAUCCGGUGCUGCCAAAGUGCACAGACUCAUAACCUGAGCACAGGGUGAGCAGGCUCCAAGGAACCACCAGAACCCCUCCCCACCCACCUAGCUCCUGGCCCCUGUAAACUCUUGUACAAUUAAGCCAGUGUUCCUGGGUCUGGUGGAAAUCUGAUCAAGUCUGAAAUGCGAUGAAUGGACUACACUUCAUAGACAGAUGACUUACUCCCACUUUUGGGAAUAUAAGAGCAGAAAGUGUGCGUGUUUGAAUUUUGAAAAUGUUUUAAAUGUUUAAACUUGGAUCACAACGUCCUGUAUGUAAUAUUCUGUAAAUGUGUUGAAAUUUAUUCAGAUACAAGUUCAUCACCCAAAAAUGAGCCAAGGUCAAGGAGUCUGGGUCUGAAAAAAAGUCUCCUUUUAUCCAUCCAUCCAUCCAUCCAUUUUCUGAGCCGCUUCUCCUCACCAGGGUCGCGGGCGUGCUGGAGCCUAUCCCUGCUAUCUUCGAGCGAGAGGCGGGGUACACCCAAUCACAGGGCACAUAUAAACAAACAAUCAUUCACGCUCACAUUCAUACCUAUGGGCAAUUUAGAAUCUUCAAUCAACCUACCACGCAUGUUUUUGGGAUGUGGGAGGAAACCGGAGUGCCCGGAGAAAACCCAUCCAGGCACAGGGAGAACAGGCAAACUCCACACAGGCAGGGCAGGGAUUUGAACCCCGGUCCCCAGAACUGCGAGGUCACCGUGCCGUCUUCUUUUAUGUUAAUUUUAUUUUCAUAAGAAAUUAAAAUGGGUCCCUCAGAUCCCAACACUAUACUGUACAGGGAUUAAGGUAUAACCAUGGGGAUUCACAUGACGUAUACAUCUGUACCCCAAUGCAGCCCUAUGGGGGGUACAAGGCAGUGCAAACUGUAGGCCGGUCCCAAGCCCGAUCAAUGCAGAGGGUUGCGUCAGGAAGGGCAUCCCGCUUAAAACUUUGCCAAACAAAUAUGAACGUUCCUCUAAAGAAUUCCAUACCUGAUCUGUCAUUAACAACGUCCGCCCCCGGCACCGUUAACCUGCAGGGCGCCGGUGGAAAUUCAGCUACUGUGGGGCGAAGACGAAGGAGAGGUGGAAAGCGGGUUCUUAGGCAGAAAGAGAAGAGGAAAGCACUGAGCCUAGAAUUGAAUGUGGCGACUUUGAAUGUUGGGACUAUGACAGGAAAAUCUUGGGAGUUGUUUGACAUGAUGAUUUAAGGUGGCGGUGGGACUGCAUCAGGGAUCAGCCCUAAGCCCCUUCCUGUUUGCAGUGGUGAUGGAUAGUCUGACAGAUGAGGUUAGACUAGAACCCCCGUGGACCAUGAUGUUUGCAGAUGACAUUGUGAUCUGCAGUGAAAGCAGGGAGGAGGUGGAGGAACAGUUAGAAAGAUGGAGGCAUGGACUGGAACGGAGAGGAAUGAAGAUUAGCCGAAGUGAGACAGAAUAUAUGUGCAUGAAUGAGGGGGGUGGAGGGGGAAGUGUGAGGCUACAGGGAGAAGAGAUAGCAAGGGUGGAGGACUUUAAAUACUUGGGGUCAACAGUCCAGAGCAAUGGUGAGUGUGGUCAGGAAGUGAAGAAACGGGACAGCCAAGAUUAGAUAUUUUGGAGGCAAAGUUAGAGAGAGCAGACUUCGAUGGUUCGGACACGUCCAGAGGAGAGAGAGUGAGUAUAUUGGUAGAAGGAUGAUGAGGAUGGAGCUGCCAGGCAAGAGAGCUAGAGGAAGACCAAAGAGAAGGUUGAUGCAUGUUGUGAGGGAAGACAUGAGGGCAGUUGGUGUUUGAGAGAAGGAUGCAGGAGAUAGGCUUACAUGGAAAAGGAUGACACGUUGUGGCGACCCCUAAUGGGACAAGCCGAAAGGAAAAGAAGAAGAAACAUAUGUACCCCCUCCUCUGCAGUGUCUCCAGUUGCAGGAUUUUCCUUAUCAGACGAUUUCUGGGCACUGUAUACAUACACGAUAUCAAACGGGAGAGCUGCAUUUAAGGUUCAAAAUUGCCUAAGGAGAUAUAGCUUCUAUGGACGCUGCCACCUUAUGUGGUCACGAAAUUAGCUUCACUACUGAAAAUUACGUGUUUAAUUAUUCGUUUUAACAAUUAUUCGUACUACGAUUCAUGGUUGCCGAGUCGAUUCAAGGACAAUAUUUGCUCAUCUAGAACGAUAUGAUCCGAAGCAAUUCAGUGGCAUCAAAUUGAUUCACUAACUUUUUAGCCAUACAUUCAACCAGCGUGAUUGUAAAACAAAUACUUGGGUACUGGACAGUGCAGGUGAAAGAUGUGAUUUACUUCUCAGACUGGCCCACUCAAUAGCACCAUAAAAAAACUACACUAUACUCCCAUGAUCCCCUGCGAUGUCACAACAGGAAAACUUACUUGGGUAACGCUUAAGAUCUUUAUCAAAGUGCUAAAACACACACACAUCCAAAUAAUGUCGGCAAUGUGUAAACCCAAUGCAUUAUUUCCUAGUAUCGAUACAAUCGAUUUAUUACAUUUUAAAUGAUUGAAAUCGAUAUAUUUUCGUCCGAAAGGCUAACGAGCCACAGACAGAUCAAUGCAGUUGGAUUGUAGGAAUAUCCUGUAAAUUGAUAUAAUGAAUGAAUCGUUACACCCCUACUGAAAGUUUUAUUAUUAUUAUAUAAGAGUAUAAUACACUUUAACGUUUAAAAAAGUGUCAUAGGACCACGCUACAGAGAAAUGCAGUUAAAGUAGUCACGCCGCUACUUGUAACGCCACUACUGCCCAGCACUGGGUACACCCUCGACUGGUCGUCAGCCAAUCACAGCGCCCUUAAAGACAAACAACCAUUCACACUAACAUUCACACCUUUAAGGAAAAUGUGUUUUCAGGGGGGCUGAAACAGAUGAAUGGCAUCUCAAUUAAUUUCAAUUUGGAAAAUGUAUUCUGUCGCGGUAAUGCUCCCCGCAAACGGAGGUGACAGUGGCUCCCCACGGUUUGAUAAACUGCAGCCUUCAAAGCCGCCCUGCUGUGAGACUCCCACAACAAGACGCUUUGGACCCUAAAGUAAUUCGUAGGUCCCCUCGAAAUCUGGGUUUGCAGUCAUCAAAGAGUUCUUUCUUCAUUUGAACUCAUAACAGGCCAAAAGGGACCGAUCGACAAUGGGAUGGAAAUACAGCAACAAACUAUUUGCACAGCUGUGAGAUUUUGAGAAUUGUUUGUUUUGAUUUGACUCGCAGCAGCAUGAAAUGUGAUUUGAUUCAUAAGCAGUUGAUUUGCCAAAACUAAAGUAUAAACAUUCCAUGUGCUUGACCUGUGAGUAAAGAGAGUACCAAGAUGAGGUUAUUUUAUAUUAAUAUAUGAUUUUAAACCCAUUUUAUCAAAUUUGUAGACAGGAUUCAAGCUGAUGGGUGUGGUCUAACCCAGGGGCUCUUGUGUUUUUGGCUGGCUUCUUAGCUUCCCAGCCACGGGGCGGCCUCUCUUUUGUUCGAGCACACGACUCGGUAACCGCGAGCUCUGGGGGUGGAGACUCGGCUUCCCAGCCUCAAUGUGGGCCACCGCUAGGCGAUCAGAGCAGCUGCUACUAAGGUACCAGGUACGCUUCGAGCCAAGCGUGAUCUCUCUGAAAUUGCCAGCGAGCCACAAAAAAGGCAGGAAAAGACACGGUCAUACUCUCCCAAGGAGGCGUGACGAACAACCAUUUUUCGUCUUCCGCCUCUUUGAGCCUGCGGUCAUGAAUAGACGCGGCAAAACUUUCGCCAGACUGUACAAUGUUAGUGCCGAAUACUUUCGGGGAAAUUACUAGCUUCAGACAAAAUCUCAACUUUGCCCUCUCUCUCUCUCCCGUCUGCACUGGAUGCAGUAAAUCCUCAUGUUUCCAACUUUAGUCCAACACAUGAUGUUCUCGUUCCCUUUUCGUACUCCUAUUUUCCUUAUUUUUGCCAUUCUUAGUGUUAUUUUCUUUCUUUAGUUAGACCCUUUGUGUGUUUCCCUUUAGAUCCCUUGUAGAUGUCAUUAAAUAUACGAUAAAAUUCCA